rnacentral:rRNA from 1 species
GCCUAGUUCCUUAUUAUAAAUUCACAAGGUAAAAAUUAUAUACAAGUAAAUAUACUAAUUCUAUCAUUAUUACAAAAAUUUUAAAAUUAAAUAAAUAAUCCUAAUAAAAAACCUAAAAUAAUUAUAAAAUCAAAAUAGAAAAUAAUGAACUAAAACGUAAUCUUAAAGAUAGCUGGUUUAAAGCUUACUAUUAUAUUUUAUAAAACAAAUUAUAGGUUAUUAACUUCAAAGCUUAUCCCUUAAAGAAUAAAUAAGUUAAUAUUUAUAAUUAAAAAAUUAAAUAAAAACAAUUAACUUUAAAAAAUUAAAAUUUUUCUUAAGAAACUARAUAUCUUGGGAAACGAUUAACAUUUCAUUUCCAUAAAUAAUUUAAUAAUAAUUAUGAUACAUUAACUAUAAAUUAUUUAUAAAUCAACCCAAAUCGAGACAAGUAAAUUAAAUACUAAAAUUUUGAUAAACCCUGAUACAAAAGGUACAAUAAAUAAAAUAUACUUUUAAAAAUUUAAAAUAAUAUUUCAUAAAACAAUUACAUUACCAAUAAACUAUAAUUUAAAAAAUCAAUUCUACAAAAUAUACUAAGACAAAAUUCAAUAAAAUUAUUUUUAUUA